CUGGGAUAUUGGAGACAUCUUCGCAGAGGUAGUGGAGAGGGUCUCUGAUCCUGGUCCCUUGGGAAGUGAAGACUGCCAAAAUAUAACUACUCAGCCAGAGAUCGUGGGUGUGAAUAUCCCCUGGAAACCCAAAAGUCCCAAGUGCGCAGAGCCUGAACGUGAUAACAGUUCUGAUGGUGCGAAAAUGGCAACAACCAACAGUUUAAAGAUUCCCGAUUUCCAAAUCCGAAGAUUUGAAGAGACUGAGGUUGUGGUGUCUCACAUUGUGAGUCCGAGCAACUUCUACAUCCAGCAGGCAGACUCCCAUGAGAAGCUACAGGCCUUUGCCACAGACUGGAAAGCCAGUAGUUCAAAUGCUGAGCAGAACUGCAUUCCAGAUAUUGGAACCGUAGUAAUGGGUUGGGUCGCCGAGCGAGAACAAUGGUGCAGGAGCCAGGUGAUAAAGAUAUGUGGCGUGAGCAGAGAUGGUGCUGGGACAGAGACAUCCAUCAAGGUGGAAGUGAAAAGGUUGGACUAUGGUGACACUGCCUGUCUGUCACUGUCAAAUAUAAAGGAGCUGACCCCUGAAAUGGCUACUAUACCACUUCAGGCUGUGCAGGUUUCACUGACUAAUGUGAUGCCUCUGAAUGGGAGAGAUUGGUCUGAGGAGGCAGUCGGCUGGUUCAAAGCGACUGUACACAACAGGACCCUCUAUGCUAGGCUGUACCCACAGGAAGGCAAAGUUACAGUCGAGCUGUUCAUGGAGAAGGGAAAGCUCGGAGCCAUGAGGAGGGGUGCUUCAUUGUCUUUGAGACUGGCCCAGAAUGGACACGCCAUCCACAGCAAACUUAAGAAGACCAGUCUCAUCAAAAGAAGUAAGUUACAUUAUAUUUUAAAAAUGCAUUUUCUCUAAGAGUCCACACUACACUAAUAUACUUCAAUGCGAUGUGUUUAUUCCUCAUUGUCACCGCUCUAUGUUGAUAUUCACAAUUUUCCGUUUUGUUUUGUAGACAGUGUUCAGCUUAAAGCCCAGAAACAGGACUCUGACUGGGAGAAGUAUCUCAUAUCAUGCUACACUCAAAGGAAGUAGUUCGUGUGUGUGUGUGUGUGUGUGUGUGAGAAAGAAAUUAAAAGUAGAUUUAUAAAGGAUUAACUGGACUAGUACACAUUAAGUCAUGUUUUUCUUUUGUAUCUCGAGCUUUUAUUCUUUAUGUACAGGGAAAGCAUACAAAGCUAGUUUUGCUUGUUUUAUUUUGACUGUAUAAUUUAAAGAUAUUGGUUAACCUGUUCCAUUUUGCUGUGUUUAAGAACAGAACUGUAUUUCAAGUCCUGAUUAUUUUU
ensembl:lncRNA